rnacentral:sRNA from 1 species
GAGGACGGGCGCCAGGGGGCAACUUCCUACAGGAGGGCGUCCCGUUAGAAUGACAGGGCUUUUGCAAAAGUCUGACACCCGUGGCACAGAGCGCCCCAGAUAUGGAGGGUUUCACAGGCUCAUGUGUGGCUUCUUCAGUCCUCUCUUCAUUCACUCAUGUAUUCAUUUAUUCAACGACAUAUUACUAAGGAACCUCCUUAAGCCGGGAUGCUGAACGUGGAAAAAUAGUUGACUCUUGAACAAUGUGGGGGCUUGGGGCACCAACCCCCUGUGCAGUUGAAAAUCGACAUAUAACUUUGACUCGCCAAAAACUUCACUACAAUAGCCUGCUGCCAACCUGAAGUCUUACCAAUAACAUCAACAGUCAAUUAAACAUAUUACGUAUGUUAUAUGUAUUCUAUGCUGUAGUUUUACAAUAAAGUAAGCUGGAGAAAAGAAA